UUCCUUCUUCAGCUUUGGAAUUCAUGGGAACUCUUCAUUCUAGUUCCUAACACUUCAUCUACAGCUGAUCUUUCCCCACUUUCCAGUUAAAUGACUUAACCCCCGCUCUGCUCAGCAUGUUCUCCACAUGAAGCAGCUGUGCCCGGCCUGGGCCGCACCCACAGGCGAUCCCAGAGGGCGUGGCAGCACCUGCCGAGGCCCAGGCGGCGAUGGUUGUGGACACGAGAAGGGCAGAGCAGGAGGAAGCUCGGGGUGGAUGUAGCAACUUUCUCUUCCCUGGAGUCCUCGCCUGGAAAGCCAGGGCAGGUGGUGGUGACAGAGCCCAGCUCCGACCGCAUUCCUGCCUCAGACUGGCCUUUGUGGUGACACCAAGACCCUCCCUCCGUGAAGGCCGCUCGAUGUCACCUCGGGGGCCAGGCCUUUGCAGGUCUGGUCCCUGCAGGCUCCCGGCGCCCGGAGCUGUCUGGCAUCUCCUGUGUGUUUCCACAUUUCCAGGGGGUUUCCAGAGCCCGGAGGGAAGGCUGUGGGGGAGCCCUCGAAUUAUUCCCGGAGCCGAGCUGGAGGGAGGCUCUCGUUGGACGCCGUUCCCGGGCCCUCUGCCGGCCCUGCUGCCCGUGUCUGCGAGGGGCCUCGUCUUCCUCGGCAGUCUCUCCAUCAACCUCCUGGCCCUUCUCUUCUGACUCAAGAACCCCUCAUCUUCCUGGUUCUGUUGCACCUGCUUCACCAGGGACUCUGCUCUCAGCGGCAUCGCCAAGGAGGGAAGGAUUCGACAGAGGUUCUCCGCUGAGGACCCGGCUGAGAUGGUGGAGGCAGCGGCUCUGCCCUCCCCAGCGCUUGCCCAGCCGGCUCUCCCCACGCCUGCAGACGGCAGAGCCCCCCGGGGAGGUGGCCGUGGGAACCUCACGGGGCUGUGCUGAGGGUUAAAACAGAGAACGCACGUAGGCGUUACCAGGGGCUGGCACAUAGCAAGCGACCAAUGAAUGCCAACCAUUUACAUUUGGCGUCUCCUUUCCAUCGUCUUUGUGUCUCUCACCUAAAUUGAUCAGAACUUCGCCCCCUUACAGGAUGGGAGUUUGUGGGGAGUGACGAUGACAAUGGAGGGGGCAGAGGCUUCUGUUUUAUUUUUAAAUCACCAGACAUUUUCAAAACGCUUGUUGCUUGCUGAAGAGCAGGCCCUCGUGCUGCGGUGCUUGGGCCUUCUUGCAAAGUGGACUCCUCCAAGGAGAGCCUAAUCUCAUCUCCUUGGCUGUGGGCGGAGGAGGGGCCAGCUUCUAACCAGCAGGAAGCCGUGCGGUGGCGCCUGGAGACUUGGGGGCCAGGCUGGGUGUCUGGGGGGGCCCUGCCCUCCAUGGAAGGAAUCCAGUGAUCCAGCAGGGGCCGAGGAGGAAGGCUGAGUGGCAAGGCACCCCAGGUGCAGGGUGCGGCCAGGGAGCCCGCUGCUCCAGCCCAGGCCUCGGACCCGGGAACGGGAGAGAAGGCUCCGAAGUGACCCCACUCGAGCCACCAGCUGACCACGAUCCCUCAGAGACCCCGGUGAGCAGCCAGGCUCAGCUGCUCUCAAUUCCUGGCCCACGAGGCAGCUCUUGCUCUUUGAAGCCACCACGUUUUGGGCAGAUUGGUCAAGUAUUCAUCGGUCACAAGAGCACGCCACCCACUGGGAGCUGCGUCACGGUAUUCUCUCAGUUUCACAAAUGAAGACACUAAGCUUUAGAGAAUUCGAGGGGCACGUGCAAGAUGCCAGAGGAAGACGCAGGGACACAGACGGUGUCCGUGUGACCUCAGAGUCGCUCGAGGCCCUGCGCGGGGCAGCCUCGUGGAUCCUGCAGCAGGUGGAGGCAGGUGGUGCCAGGGCUCCUGGCUGUGACUGCCCCGCAGGCUUCUCACUGCGCACGCUCGCCCUGCGCUCGGAAGAUCGCCACCUGCUCGGCUCCCAGAGGCUCUGCCGCACGGCUCCUUGCGUGACAGCUCCGGACGGAGCGGGGGCUCGGGGAGGCCAGGCUGGCGGGGGCGGAGGCUGGGAACCGUGGUCGGGGAGGAGCCACAUGGUGUGCGGAGCACCAGGUGGGGAAGACAGAACAGCAGGGCUGAGGGCGGGAGGACCGCUGAGGAGGUGCCGGUGGCAGAAGCCCCAAAGAGCAAUGAGAACAUGUGCCCGGAGGACGAUGAGUGUCCCCGAGGCAAGCAGAAGGGCCCCUGUGCUGCCAUGGGGAGCGCCCCGGGGGUGCUCAGCCCACAGGGCCCCACGCAGCCUCUGCGCCACUCGCUGCACCUCCCUAGCGAGCCUGCACGCCCGUGUCCCCAGGCAGGUGUUCAUUCGGGGGCACCUCCAUCCAGCGCCGAUCAGGCCGGGCACCCGGGGAGGGUGGGGCACAGGAUGGAAGUGAAACUGUCUGCCCCGGGGAGCCGGAGGCCUGCAGGGAAGUGAUGCCUGCGAGACCCACUGUGUGCUGGUCCCACAGGGAGUGACUCACCUGUUAAUCUUGCCAGCAGGCCUAUAACACAGGCACUGUUCCCUGGAGAGGAGACUGAGCUCAGAGACAGGAAAGAGGAUGCGACCAGCCAGUGCCCGGGUGUUAGCGCAGGUCAGUCUAGGUCUGAAGCGCGGUGGUUUGGCACCAGCCCCUGCCUCUCAGACGUGCGGGUCCGUUGCAUUUCCGUGUGCAGGUCCCAGACUAUGCAGAGGGCUUCGAGGCUGCGGGGAGGAUGAGCUGAGUUCCCCUCAGAAGAGACCAGGGAGGGUGCGGCCGUCGGACAGAAGUUACUAGGUCUGGGUUCUGAAGGAUGGAGAGGAGUUCGGUAGGUAGAGAGGGUGUUGCAGCAGAGGGAGCAGGGUGCCCUGGAGGGGAGGGAGGGAGAGGGACCAGCAAAGAUGGAGCGGAGCCCACAGCGGUGUUCACCAUUGCCAGGCGUGAGCGAUUCUGUUCUGAUGAAAGGGAUGUGGACGUACCUGUGGGCUAAUAGGAAGCACGAGGCGUUUAACCGACCGUGACUCAUGCGGACGGACGGACGGUCGC